rnacentral:rRNA from 1 species
GACGAACGCAGGCGGCGUGCCUAAUACAUGCAAGUCGAGCGAAGUUUUUCUGGUGCUUGCACUAGAAAAACUUAGCGGCGAACGGGUGAGUAACACGUAAAGAACCUGCCUCAUAGACUGGGACAACUAUUGGAAACGAUAGCUAAUACCGGAUAACAGUAUUUCUCGCAUGAGAGAUAUUUAAAAGUUGGUUAUGCUAACACUAUGAGAUGGCUUUGCGGUGCAUUAGCUAGUUGGUGGGGUAAAGGCCCACCAAGGCGACGAUGCAUAGCCGACCUGAGAGGGUGAUCGGCCACACUGGGACUGAGACACGGCCCAGACUCCUACGGGAGGCAGCAGUAGGGAAUCUUCCGCAAUGGGCGAAAGCCUGACGGAGCAACGCCGCGUGAGUGAAGAAGGAUUUCGGUUCGUAAAGCUCUGUUGUUAGGGAAGAAUGGAUAUGUAGUAACUAUACAUAUAAGAGACGGUAC